AAUAUUUCACAAUGGAGCAAACUCUGAUGCAGCGACGCCCCGGGAGUGAAGAAGGUCCUUGGAGCGUAAAACUCUGUCCUUGGUGGAGAUAAUGACGGUAGCCAAGGAGGAAGCCCCGGCUAACCACGUGCCACCAGCCGCGGUAAUACGUAGGGGGCUAGCGUUGUCCGGAUUUACUGGGGGGAAAGGGUGUGUAGGCGGUUAUGUAAGUCAGGUGUAAAAGGCGUGGGGUUAACUUACGUUAGCAUUUGAAACUGCAUAACUUGAGUGCGGGAGAGGUAAGUGGAAUUCCUAGUGUAGCGGUGGAAUGCGUAGAUAUUAGGAGGAAAACCAGUGGCGAAGGCGACUUACUGGACCGUAACUGACGCUGAGUCACGAAAGCGUGGGUAGCAAACAGG
rnacentral:rRNA from 1 species